UGAUAGUUAGCGGCGGACGGGUGAGUAACACGUGGGUAACCUGCCUGUAAGACUGGGAUAACUCCGGGAAACCGGGGCUAAUACCGGAUGGUUGUUUGAACCGCAUGGUUCAGACAUAAAAGGUGGCUUCGGCUACCACUUACAGAUGGACCCGCGGCGCAUUAGCUAGUUGGUGAGGUAACGGCUCACCAAGGCGACGAUGCGUAGCCGACCUGAGAGGGUGAUCGGCCACACUGGGACUGAGACACGGCCCAGACUCCUACGGGAGGCAGCAGUAGGGAAUCUUCCGCAAUGGACGAAAGUCUGACGGAGCAACGCCGCGUGAGUGAUGAAGGUUUUCGGAUCGUAAAGCUCUGUUGUUAGGGAAGAACAAGUGCCGUUCAAAUAGGGCGGCACCUUGACGGUACCUAACCAGAAAGCCACGGCUAACUACGUGCCAGCAGCCGCGGUAAUACGUAGGUGGCAAGCGUUGUCCGGAAUUAUUGGGCGUAAAGGGCUCGCAGGCGGUUUCUUAAGUCUGAUGUGAAAGCCCCCGGCUCAACCGGGGAGGGUCAUUGGAAACUGGGGAACUUGAGUGCAGAAGAGGAGAGUGGAAUUCCACGUGUAGCGGUGAAAUGCGUAGAGAUGUGGAGGAACACCAGUGGCGAAGGCGACUCUCUGGUCUGUAACUGACGCUGAGGA
rnacentral:rRNA from 1 species